rnacentral:rRNA from 1 species
AGAGUUUGAUCCUGGCUCAGGAUGAACGCUGGCGGCGCGCCUAACACAUGCAAGUCGAACGGCACCCACCUCCGGGUGGAAGCGAGUGGCGAACGGCUGAGUAACACGUGGAGAACCUGCGGCCUCCGGGGGGAUAGCCGCCCGAAAGGACGGGUAAUACCGGAUACCCCGGGGUGCCGCAUGGCACCCCGGCUAAAGCGGGCGACGGGAGGGGAUGGCUCCGCGGCCCAUCAGGUAACGGCGGGGUGACGGCCCACCGUGCCGACAACGGGUAGCCGGGUUGAGAGACCGAGGGGCCAGAUAGACACGGGGCAGACUCCUACGGGAGGCAGCAGUGGGGAAUCUUGCGCAAUGGGGGGAACCCUGACGCAGCGAGCAGGGAAGAGUCAAGACUGUUGGGACUGACCUGCAGAAGAAGCCACACCGCCGGCUAACUACGUGCCAGCAGCCGCGGUAAUACGUAGGGGGCGAGCGUUAUCCGGAUUCAUUGGGCGUAAAGCCGCGUAGGCGGCCCGGCAGGCCGGGGGUCGAAGCGGGGGGCUCAACCCCCGAAGCCCCCGGAACCUCCGCGGCUUGGGUCCGGUAGGGGAGGGUGGAACACCCGGUGUAGCGGUGGAAUGCGCAGAUAUCGGGUGGAGUGGCGAAGGCGGCGCCGCGUGCGGACGGAGGCCCUCGGGUCGUAAACCGCUUUCACCCUCUGGGCCGAGACCGACGCUGAGGCGCGAAGCUAACUCAAAGGGACCCCGUGGCGAGAGGAGCCCAUACAGGUGGUGCAUGGCUGUCGGAGCGAACAGGGCCGGAUUAGAUACCCUGGUAGUCCCAGCCGUAAACGAUGGACGCUAGGUGUGGGGGGACGAUGGGCCGUGCCGCAGCCAACGCAUUAAGCGUCGGGCCUGGGGAGUACGGCCGCAAGGCUAGGAAUUGACGGCGCACAAGCAGCGGAGCAUGUGGCUUAAUUCGAAGCAACGCGAAGAACCUUACCAGGCUUGACAUAUGGGUGAAGCGGGGGAGGUCAGCUCGUGUCGUGAGAUGUUGGGUUAAGUCCCGCAACGAGCGCAACCCCCGCCGCGUGUUGCCAUCGGGUGAUGCCGGGAACCCACCGGGACCGCCGCCGUCAAGGCGGAGGAGGGCGGGGACGACGUCAAGUCAUCAUGCCCCUUAUGCCCUGGGCUGCACACGUGCUACAAUGGCCGGUACAGAGGGAUGCCACCCCGCGAGGGGGAGUGGAUCCCGGAAAGCCGGCCCCAGUUCGGAUUGGGGGCUGCAACCCGCCCCCAUGAAGUCGGAGUUGCUAGUAAUCGCGGAUCAGCA